rnacentral:rRNA from 1 species
UCGAGAAUUUUUCACAAUGGGCGCAAGCCUGAUGGAGCGACGCCGCGUGGGGGAUGAAUGGCUUCGGCCCGUAAACCCCUGUCAUUCGCGAUCAAAACCUGCGACCUAACAUGUCGCAGGCUGAUAGUAGCGGAAGAGGAAGGGACGGCUAACUCUGUGCCAGCAGCCGCGGUAAUACAGAGGUCCCAAGCGUUGUUCGGAUUCACUGGGCGUAAAGGGUGCGGAGGCGGUUGGGUAAGUCUGACGUGAAAUCCCGGGGCUUAACUCCGGAAUGGCGGCGGAAACUAUUCAGCUAGAGGAUUGGAGGGGGGACUGGAAUUCUCGGUGUAGCAGUGAAAUGCGUAGAUAUCGGGAAGAACACCCGUGGCGAAGGCGAGUCCCUUGGCAAUUCCUGACGCUGAGGCACGAAAGCUAGGGGAGCAAACA